UACAGAGGGGGCAAGCGUUGUUCGGAAUUACUGGGCGUAAAGGGCGCGUAGGUGGCCUUCUAAGUUGAACGUGAAAUCCCUGGGCUCAACCCAGAAACUGCGUCCAAGACUGGGAGGCUUGAAUCCGGGAGAGGGAUGCGGAAUUCCAGGUGUAGCGGUGAAAUGCGUAGAUAUCUGGAGGAAUACCGGUGGCGAAGGCGGCAUCCUGGACCGAGAUUGACACUAAAGCGCGAAAGCCAGGGGAGCAAACGGG
rnacentral:rRNA from 1 species